rnacentral:misc_RNA from 1 species
CAACCCUCAAGCGCUGCUGCGCUUGGCGUUGGGGCACUUACAGCUUGGCACUUGCUGCCCUGUAAGCCCUGAAAUUCAGCGGCGGGCCCGUCUGCACACCGAGCGUAGUAAAUCAUGCUUCCGCUCAGGGCGCUGCGGCGAGGCCUAGCCAGCUCUCUUAUCUACCUAA